rnacentral:rRNA from 1 species
AACGAACGCUGGCGGCAGGCCUAACACAUGCAAGUCGAGCGGACCCCUUUCGGGGGUUAGCGGCGGACGGGUGAGUAACGCGUGAGAAUAUGCCCUUCUCUACGGAAUAGUCUCGGGAAACUGGGGGUAAUACCGUAUACGCCCUUUGGGGGAAAGAUUUAUCGGAGAAGGAUUAGCCCGCGUUGGAUUAGGUAGUUGGUGGGGUAAUGGCCUACCAAGCCGACGAUCCAUAGCUGGUUUGA